rnacentral:rRNA from 1 species
GACAAACGCUGGCGGCGUGCUUAACACAUGCCAGUCGAACGGAAAGGCCCUGCUUUUGUGGGGUGCUCGAGUGGCGAACGGGUGAGUAACACGUGAGUAACCUGCCCUUGACUUUGGGAUAACUUCAGGAAACUGGGGCUAAUACCGGAUAGGAGCUCCUGCUGCAUGGUGGGGGUUGGAAAGUUUCGGCGGUUGGGGAUGGACUCGCGGCUUAUCAGCUUGUUGGUGGGGUAGUGGCUUACCAAGGCUUUGACGGGUAGCCGGCCUGAGAGGGUGACCGGCCACAAUGGGACUGAGAUACGGCCCAGACUCCUACGGGAGGCAGCAGUGGGGAAUAUUGCACAAUGGGCGGAAGCCUGAUGCAGCAACGCCGCGGGCGGGAUGACGGCCUUCGGGUUGUAAACCGCUUUCGCCUGUGACGAAGCGUGAGUGACGGUAAUGGGUAAAGAAGCACCGGCUAACUACGUG